GCAGGAGUGGCGGAGCGGUCAAACGCGCCAGGCUUAGGACCUGGAGGCUUAGUGCCUACCUAGGUUCGAAUCCUAGCUCCUGCA
rnacentral:tRNA from 1 species